CGAGACCGCUCCGGAGACCAGGAGAAAGCUUCGGUCAAUCAUGAGUACUACUGGGGAGUCAUGGGAGCAGGGGAGGCCAUGCUGAGAGCGUAACCCAGGAGCUCAGCAGGGCCUCUCAGAAGUGAGGACAGACUCUACCACCAUGGUAAGAAGGGAGUGAUAGAUGUGGGGAGGUAAGAGGAGUUCCACAUGGAGUUGUGUCUAGGCUAGAGGCCAAGGGCAAAUGAGGGACAGCCAUACGCCUCCCUGGCCACCACAGUAACAGCAUAGAAAAAUACAAGACUUAGCACUCAGGAAGCAGAGGCAGGCAGGUCUCUGUGAGUUUGAGGCUAGCCUGGUCCACAGAGCCCAUUCUAGGACAACCAGGGCUACACAGAGAAACCCUGUCUCAAAAAAC
rnacentral:lncRNA from 1 species